CAGACAUUCAGAUUAUGUGAAUUGCUCAUAUUUACAAUGGAGAAAUAUCAAGAAAAAAAAGGAAGAAACCAAAAAAUGUCAAGAAGAGGUGCAUUCCUCCUGUGUUCCAGGCACCGUGAGCAGCAGUGGAACAAAACUCUCUGUUUUAUUUAGUCUGGUGGAGAGAAAGACAAAGAGCAGCAGCAUAAUUG
rnacentral:lncRNA from 1 species